rnacentral:rRNA from 1 species
UACGGGGGGGGCAAGCGUUGUUCGGAAUUACUGGGCGUAAAGGGCUGGUAGGCGGCCAACUAAGUCGGAUGUGAAAUCCCCAGGCUUAACCUGGGAACUGCAUCCGAUACUGGUCGGCUUGAAUCCGGGAGAGGGAUGCAGAAUUCCAGGUGUAGCGGUGAAAUGCGUAGAGAUCAGGAAGAACACCCAUGGCGAAGGCAGCUCUCUGGGCCUGUACUGACGCUGAGACGGCGAAAGCGUGGGGAGCGAACGGG